rnacentral:rRNA from 1 species
AGAACGAACGCUGGCGGCAUGCCUAAUACAUGCAAGUCGAACGAACUCUUCGGAGUUAGUGGCGCACGGGUGCGUAACGCGUGGGAAUCUGCCCCUUGGUUCGGAAUAACAGUUGGAAACGACUGCUAAUACCGGAUGAUGACGAAAGUCCAAAGAUUUAUCGCCAAGGGAUGAGCCCGCGUAGGAUUAGCUAGUUGGUGAGGUAAAGGCUCACCAAGGCAACGAUCCUUAGC